AUUGCCUCAGUAACGGCGAGUGAAGCGGCAACAGCUCAAAUUUGAAAUCUGGCCCCAGGCCCGAGUUGUAAUUUGCAGAGGAUGCUUUUGGCGCGGUGCCUUCCGAGUUCCCUGGAACGGGACGCCAUAGAGGGUGAGAGCCCCGUCUGGUUGGACACCAAGCCUCUGUAAAGCUCCUUCGACGAGUCGAGUAGUUUGGGAAUGCUGCUCAAAAUGGGAGGUAUAUGUCUUCUAAAGCUAAAUACCGGCCAGAGACCGAUAGCGCACAAGUAGAGUGAUCGAAAGAUGAAAAGCACUUUGAAAAGAGAGUUAAAUAGCACGUGAAAUUGUUAAAAGGGAAGCGUUUAUGACCAGACUUGGGCCGGUUAAUCAUCCAGCGUUCUCGCUGGUGCACUUUGCCGGUCCAGGCCAGCAUCAGUUCGUCGCGGGGGAUAAAGGCGUCGGGAAUGUGGCUCCUCGGAGUGUUAUAGCCCUUCGCGCAAUACCCUGCGGUGGACUGAGGUUCGCGCUCUGCAAGGAUGCUGGCGUAAUGGUCAUCAACGACCCGUCUUGAAACACGGACCAAGGAGUCGUCUUCGUAUGCGAGUGUUCGGGUGUAAAACCCCUACGCGUAAUGAAAGUGAACGCAGGUGAGAGCUUCGGCGCAUCAUCGACCGAUCCUGAUGUUCUCGGAUGGAUUUGAGUAAGAGCAUACGGGGCCGGACCCGAAAGAAGGUGAACUAUGCCUGUAUAGGGUGAAGCCAGAGGAAACUCUGGUGGAGGCUCGCAGCGGUUCUGACGUGCAAAUCGAUCGUC
rnacentral:rRNA from 1 species